GAUUAAUUAGCCUUAAUAGAUUCGUCCCGCGAAUUAGACUCCAUCUAUGCAAUUAGUUUUGUAACUAGCUCAUGUUUAGUCCUAAUUAGCAUUCGAACAUCCGAUGUGUCCCUGCUAAAGUUUAGCACAUCGUAUCCAAACACCCCUCAACGAAAAAAGAGCAAAAAUAAUAUGGUGAAACGAAAAGGACGCGGUAAAGAAAAAUAUAAGGGUACCUAUGUAAAUAAAAGAAAUUAAAUAAAAAGUUAAUAUAAUUACGUGCAUUAAUCUAUUUACUAAUCUUUUUUCAUUUUAUAUGAAAUCUAGUGAAAAAUUCAAAACUCAUUUGUACAUCGAAUUCAAAUAGAUAAGGGCAUAUUGGACAUUUAACCUCUUAUAUCUGUAAAUGAAAAAUAGGAGAAGCCGUUUUGCCUAUCAAAAUAGCUUCAACCAGAGGAGCCACAGCCGAAGCCCUAAAAAAUACAGAAGUAUUUUUCAUGAUUAUUUUCAUUGGUUAGGAUACAAAAGCAUGAAAUGAAAUGAUGAAAAAUUUUCGGGCUCAAACGGAC
rnacentral:lncRNA from 1 species